rnacentral:rRNA from 1 species
AUUGAACGCUGGCGGCAGGCCUAACACAUGCAAGUCGAGCGGCAGCGGGAAAGUAGCUUGCUACUUUUGCCGGCGAGCGGCGGACGGGUGAGUAAUGCCUGGGAAAUUGCCCAGUCGAGGGGGAUAACAGUUGGAAACGACUGCUAAUACCGCAUACGCCCUACGGGGGAAAGCAGGGGACCUUCGGGCCUUGAGCGAUUGGAUAUGCCCAGGUGGGAUUAGCUAGUUGGUGAGGUAAUGGCUCACCAAGGCGCCGAUCCCUAGCUGGUCUGGAAGGAUGAUCAGCCACACUGGAACUGAGACACGGUCCAGACUCCUACGGGAGGCAGCAGUGGGGAAUAUUGCACAAUGGGGGAAACCCUGAUGCAGCCAUGCCGCGUGUGUGAAGAAGGCCUUCGGGUUGUAAAGCACUUUCAGCGAGGAGGAAAGGUUGAUGCCUAAUACGUAUCAACUGUGACGUUACUCGCAGAAGAAGCACCGGCUAACUCCGUGCCAGCCGCCGCCGUAA